AUUGAACGCUGGCGGCAUGCUUUACACAUGCAAGUCGGACGGUAACAGGCCGCAAGGUGCUGACGAGUGGCGAACGGGUGAGUAAUGCAUCGGAACGUGCCCAGUCGUGGGGGAUAACGCAGCGAAAGCUGCGCUAAUACCGCAUACGAUCUAUGGAUGAAAGCGGGGGACCGUAAGGCCUCGCGCGAUUGGAGCGGCCGAUGUCAGAUUAGGUAGUUGGUGGGGUAAAGGCUCACCAAGCCAACGAUCUGUAGCUGGUCUGAGAGGACGACCAGCCACACUGGGACUGGGACACGGCCCAGACUCCUACGGGAGGCAGCAGUGGGGAAUUUUGAACAAUGGGCGCAAGCCUGAUCCAGCAAUGCCGCGUGCAGGAAGAAGGCCUUCGGGUUGUAAACUGCUUUUGUACGGAACGAAACGGUCCUGGUUAAUACCUGGGGAGGAUGACGGUACCUGAAGAAUAAGCACCGGCUAACUACGUGCCAGCAGCCGCCGUAA
rnacentral:rRNA from 1 species